rnacentral:tRNA from 1 species
GGAGGGGAGAGCUCAGUGCUAGAGCGUGUGCUUACCACGCACGAGGUCCUGGGUUCCAUCCCCAGUCCCUCCA